rnacentral:rRNA from 1 species
GACGAACGCUGGCGGCGUGCCUAAUACAUGCAAGUAGAACGCUGAAGGAGGAGCUUGCUUCUCUGGAUGAGUUGCGAACGGGUGAGUAACGCGUAGGUAACCUGCCUGGUAGCGGGGGAUAACUAUUGGAAACGAUAGCUAAUACCGCAUAAUAUUGAUUAUUGCAUGAUAGUCAAUUAAAAGGUGCAAUUGCAUCACUACCAGAUGAACCUGCGUUGUAUUAGCUAGUUGGUGAGGUAACGGCUCACCAAGGCAACGAUACAUAGCCGACCUGAGAGGGUGAUCGGCCACACUGGGACUGAGACACGGCCCAGACUCCUACGGGAGGCAGCAGUAGGGAAUCUUCGGCAAUGGACGGAAGUCUGACCGAGCAACGCCGCGUGAGUGAAGAAGGUUUUCGGAUCGUAAAGCUCUGUUGUAAGAGAAGAACGAGUGUGAGAGUGGAAA